AAGAAGCGAGGUGAUCAGUGAGCUAGCAACUGGGAGCUGAAACUAGACUGUAAUAUAGUUAAGUGAAG
rnacentral:rRNA from 1 species